CCGUGCUAGACGGGGAGGUAGCGGUGCCCUGUAACCUGCAACCCGCUAUAGCAGGGUUGAAUUCCGGUUUGAGGCUUUUCUUCUUGGAACCGGCUUUGGUAAGUAGUGUUGAGGGCCGGGUCUUGCGCAACGGAAACGGGUGAACCCCGCCAGGUCCGGAAGGAAGCAACGGUAAACCCGCCCUUUCGUGUGCCGCAAGGCAACCUGGCUGGAGCUGGCUGCCAAAGUACGUCUGGGAAGGAAUUGUCGGGAACCGGUGCACGG
rnacentral:SRP_RNA from 1 species